GAAUGUAUGGCUUAGUGGUCAGAGCGCCUGGACGAUUUCAUAGAGGCGCGAGUUCGAAUCCCGCUACGUUCA
rnacentral:tRNA from 1 species